rnacentral:rRNA from 1 species
GACGAACGCUGGCGGCGUGCUUAACACAUGCAAGUCGAACGGUAAGGCCCCUUCGGGGGUACACGAGUGGCGAACGGGUGAGUAACACGUGAGUAACCUGCCCUUGACACUGGGAUAACACCUGGAAACAGGUGCUAAUACCGGAUAUGAACUUCCUCGGCAUCGAGGAGGUUGUAAAGCUCCGGCGGUCAAGGAUGGACUCGCGGCCUAUCAGCUUGUUGGUGAGGUAACGGCUCACCAAGGCUUCGACGGGUAGCCGGCCUGAGAGGGCGACCGGCCACAUUGGGACUGAGAUACGGCCCAAACUCCUACGGGAGGCAGCAGUGGGGAAUAUUGCACAAUGGGCGAAAGCCUGAUGCAGCAACGCCGCGUGCGGGAUGACGGCCUUCGGGUUGUAAACCGCUUUCAGCAGGGACGAAGCGAAAGUGACGGUACCUGCAGAAGAAGCGCCGGCUAACUACGUG